GGAAAAGAAAUCAACCGAGAUUCCCCCAGUAGCGGCGAGCGAACGGGGAGCAGCCCAGAGCCUGAAUCAGUGUGUGUGUUAGUGGAAGCGUCUGGAAAGGCGCGCGAUACAGGGUGACAGCCCCGUACACAAAAAUGCACAUGCUGUGAGCUCGAUGAGUAGGGCGGGACACGUGGUAUCCUGUCUGAAUAUGGGGGGACCAUCCUCCAAGGCUAAAUACUCCUGACUGACCGAUAGUGAACCAGUACCGUGAGGGAAAGGCGAAAAGAACCCCGGCGAGGGGAGUGAAAAAGAACCUGAAACCGUGUACGUACAAGCAGUGGGAGCACGCUUAGGCGUGUGACUGCGUACCUUUUGUAUAAUGGGUCAGCGACUUAUAUUCUGUAGCAAGGUUAACCGAAUAGGGGAGCCGAAGGGAAACCGAGUCUUAACUGGGCGUUAAGUUGCAGGGUAUAGACCCGAAACCCGGUGAUCUAGCCAUGGGCAGGUUGAAGGUUGGGUAACACUAACUGGAGGACCGAACCGACUAAUGUUGAAAAAUUAGCGGAUGACUUGUGGCUGGGGGUGAAAGGCCAAUCAAACCGGGAGAUAGCUGGUUCUCCCCGAAAGCUAUUUAGGUAGCGCCUCGUGAAUUCAUCUCCGGGGGUAGAGCACUGUUUCGGCAAGGGGGUCAUCCCGACUUACCAACCCGAUGCAAACUGCGAAUACCGGAGAAUGUUAUCACGGGAGACACACGGCGGGUGCUAACGUCCGUCGUGAAGAGGGAAACAACCCAGACCGCCAGCUAAGGUCCCAAAGUCAUGGUUAAGUGGGAAACGAUGUGGGAAGGCCCAGACAGCCAGGAUGUUGGCUUAGAAGCAGCCAUCAUUUAAAGAAAGCGUAAUAGCUCACUGGUCGAGUCGGCCUGCGCGGAAGAUGUAACGGGGCUAAACCAUGCACCGAAGCUGCGGCAGCGACGCUGAUGCGUUGUUGGGUAGGGGAGCGUUCUGUAAGCCUGCGAAGGUGUGCUGUGAGG
rnacentral:rRNA from 1 species